rnacentral:rRNA from 1 species
UACGAAGGGUGCAAGCGUUACUCGGAAUUACUGGGCGUAAAGCGUGCGUAGGUGGUGGUUUAAGUCCGUUGUGAAAGCCCUGGGCUCAACCUGGGAAUUGCAGUGGAUACUGGGUCACUAGAGUGUGGUAGAGGGUAGCGGAAUUCCCGGUGUAGCAGUGAAAUGCGUAGAGCUCGGGAGGAACAUCUGUGGCGAAAGCGGCUUCCUGGACCAGUACCGACGUUCAGGCACGAAAGCGUGGGGAGCAAACAGG